UGCGAACUCCUACGGGAGGCAGCAGUGGGGAAUAUUGCGCAAUGGGGGCAACCCUGACGCAGCCAUGCCGCGUGAAUGAAGAAGGCCUUCGGGUUGUAAAGUUCUUUCGGUAGCGAGGAAGGCAUUUAGUUUAAUAGACUAGGUGAUUGACGUUAACUACAGAAGAAGCACCGGCUAACUCCGUGCCAGCAGCCGCGGUAAUACGGAGGGUGCGAGCGUUAAUCGGAAUAACUGGGCGUAAAGGGCACGCAGGCGGUGACUUAAGUGAGGUGUGAAAGCCCCGGGCUUAACCUGGGAAUUGCAUUUCAUACUGGGUCGCUAGAGUACUUUAGGGAGGGGUAGAAUUCCACGUGUAGCGGUGAAAUGCGUAGAGAUGUGGAGGAAUACCGAAGGCGAAGGCAGCCUCCUGGGAUAACACUGACGUUCAUGCUCGAAAGCGUGGGUAGCAAACAGGAUUAGAUACCCUUGUAGUCCUGAGU
rnacentral:rRNA from 1 species